AGGACUGUCACACCUGAGCAUG
rnacentral:miRNA from 1 species